GAGUUUGAUCCUGGCUCAGGAUGAACGCUAGCGGCAGGCUUAAUACAUGCAAGUCGAGGGGCAGCAGCUUUAUAGCAAUAUAGAGGCUGGCGACCGGCAAACGGGUGCGGAACACGUACACAACCUUCCUUGAAUAGGGGGAUAGCCCAUAGAAAUGUGGAUUAAUACCCCGUAAUAUAGCGGUGUGGCAUCACACUGUUAUUAUAGUUUCGGCGAUUCGAGAUGGGUGUGCGGCUGAUUAGGUAGUUGGCGGGGUAAAGGCCCACCAAGCCUUCGAUCAGUAGCUGAUGUGAGAGCAUGAUCAGCCACACGGGCACUGAGACACGGGCCCGACUCCUACGGGAGGCAGCAGUAAGGAAUAUUGGUCAAUGGACGCAAGUCUGAACCAGCCAUGCCGCGUGAAGGAUGAAGGUCCUCUGGAUUGUAAACUUCUUUUAUAGGGGGCGAAAAAAGGUCUUUCUAGAUCACUCGACAGUACCCUAUGAAUAAGCACCGGCUAACUCCGUGCCAGCAGCCGCGGUAAUACGGAGGGUGCAAGCGUUAUCCGGAUUCACUGGGUUUAAAGGGUGCGUAGGCGGGUAGGUAAGUCAGAGGUGAAAUCCUGGAGCUUAACUCCAGAACUGCCUUUGAUACUAUCUAUCUUGAAUAUGGUGGAGGUAAGCGGAAUAUGUCAUGUAGCGGUGAAAUGCAUAGAUAUGACAUAGAACACCUAUUGCGAAGGCAGCUUACUACGCCCUAUAUUGACGCUGAGGCACGAAAGCGUGGGGAUCAAACAGGAUUWAGAUACCCUGGUAGUCCACGCCCUAAACGAUGAUUUACUCGACGUAUGCRAUACMCAGUAUGCGUMYKAASCGAAAKCAWUAARUAAUCMAYCUGGGAARKWACGACCGCAGGKUUGAAACUCMAAGGAUUKGCGGGGGGUCGCMMARCGGKUG
rnacentral:rRNA from 1 species